rnacentral:rRNA from 1 species
AUUGAACGCUGGCGGCAUGCUUUACACAUGCAAGUCGAACGGUAACAGGCCGCAAGGUGCUGACGAGUGGCGAACGGGUGAGUAAUGCAUCGGAACGUGCCCAGUCGUGGGGGAUAACGCAGCGAAAGCUGUGCUAAUACCGCAUACGAUCUAUGGAUGAAAGCGGGGGACCGUAAGGCCUCGCGCGAUUGGAGCGGCCGAUGUCAGAUUAGGUAGUUGGUGGGGUAAAGGCUCACCAAGCCAACGAUCUGUAGCUGGUCCGAGAGGACGACCAGCCACACCGGGACUGGGAACCGGCCCAGACUCCUACGGGAGGCAGCAGUGGGGAAUUUUGGACAAUGGGCGCAAGCCUGAUCCAUCAAUGCCGCGUGCAGGAAGAAGGCCUUCGGGUUGUAAACUGCUUUUGUACGGAACGAAAAGGUUUGGGUUAAUACCCUGGGCCGAUGACGGUACCGUAAGAAUAAGCACCGGCUAACUACGUGCCAGCCGCCGCCGCUG